AGUGAACGCUGGCGGUAGGCCUAACACAUGCAAGUCGAACGGCAGCACAGGAGAGCUUGCUCUCUGGGUGGCGAGUGGCGGACGGGUGAGGAAUACAUCGGAAUCUACUCUGUCGUGGGGGAUAACGUAGGGAAACUUACGCUAAUACCGCAUACGACCUACGGGUGAAAGCAGGGGACCUUCGGGCCUUGCGCGAUUGAAUGAGCCGAUGUCGGAUUAGCUUGUUGGCGGGGUAAAGGCCCACCAAGGCGACGAUCCGUAGCUGGUCUGAGAGGAUGAUCAGCCACACUGGAACUGAGGCACGGUCCAGACUCCUACGGGAGGCAGCAGUGGGGAAUAUUGGAAAAUGGGCGCAAGCCUGAUCCAGCCAUACCGUGUGGGUGAAGAAGGCCUUCGGGUUGUAAAGCCCUUUUGUUGGGAAAGAAAUCCAGCUGGCUAAUACCCGGUUGGGAUGACGGUACCCAAAGAAUAAGCACCGGCUAACUUCGUGCCAGCCGCCGCCGUAA
rnacentral:rRNA from 1 species